rnacentral:misc_RNA from 1 species
CUGUAUUGUUGCAGUUUCUGCCAUACACCUCCAUUUCCAUUACUGACACAGGCAGACACUCACGCGCCUGCCAAUCAAAAUUCUUCAUCCUUGCCCACUCCCACGUGACUUCUUCAUUUCCACUAGCAACUUCAAAAGCCAGCUGCUCCCCACACUCCACCCGCCACUUUGUCCUCUCUCAAAUGCAAAUGCUUCUCCUUCACUUCCUCCUCGUCGCCGUUGCCGCCGCUGCUACUCCCUCCCUGUCCCAGACCACAACCUACCUCCUCCCGCCCGACGCCGUUUCUCUGCUUUCCUUCAAGUCCAAGGCCGACUUGGACAAUAAGCUUCUCUAUACUCUCAACGAGCGCUUCGACUACUGCGAAUGGCAAGGCGUCAAGUGUGUGCAGGGCCGCGUAGUUCGCUUCGUCCUCCAAGGUUUCUCUCUCCGUGGCACGUUCGCUCCCAACACUCUCUCCCGUCUCGACCAGCUUCGAGUCCUCAGUCUUCAGAACAACUCUCUCUCCGGUCCCUUUCCCGAUCUCUCCCCUCUCCUUAACUUGAAAUCCCUCUUUUUGGGCCACAAUUCCUUCUCAGGAUCUUUUCCUCCUUCUAUUUUGUUGCUUCAUAGGCUCAAUGUUCUUGAUCUUUCUUACAAUAAUCUCACCGGUCACAUUCCGGUUCAGUUGUCUGCUCUCGACCGGCUCAGUUCUCUUCGGUUAGAGCGGAAUCACUUUAAUGGUUCGCUCCCGCCAUUGAACCAGUCUUUUCUCAUUUUUUUCAAUGUUUCCGGGAAUAAUCUCACGGGGCCAAUUCCUGUCACUUCUACUCUUUCCAAGUUUGAUACGUCGUCGUUUUCCCUCAACCCGGAUCUCUGUGGUGAGAUUAUCAACAAGGCAUGUACUAGGACGCGCUCUCCGUUUUUUGAUUCUCCGUCAUCAUCCAAUGCCACCUCGCCGACGGCAACUCUGGGCCAGAGCGCGCAGGCGGAAGGCGGUGUUGGAGUGGUGGUUUUAUCUCCGCCAUCGACGCAGAAGCACAAGAGAACUACUGCUAUUUUGGGUUUUGCUGUUGGUGUUUCGGUGUUGAUAGUGUCUCUUUUAUGUAUCUUUUUUGUUCUGCUCAAGAAACAGAGCAAACAAGCAAAUUCGCAGGAAAAACAGUUGGCGGCAACAACGUCUGCAACCGAGGCUGCGAAUUCGAUUCAUACAAACUCGACAGGGGACGCUCAAGCUUUUAGAGAAUAUGGCGAAGCAAUAGUAAAUUCGGAAACGAGAGGAAUUGAAGUACAACAAAUGAGAAGAGCGGAGAAGAGUGGUAUUUUGGUGUUCUGUGGAGGGAACACACAGAUAUACACAUUGGAGCAGCUUAUGAGAGCUUCCGCGGAGUUGCUGGGGAGGGGUUCUAUAGGGACUACGUAUAAGGCUGUGCUAGAUAAUCACCUGAUAGUGACGGUAAAGAGGCUUGAUGCGAGUAAGACUGCCAUUACGAGUAGUGUUGCGUUUGAAGGGCAUAUGGAAGCCGUGGGUGGGCUUCGCCACCCGAACUUGGUGCCGAUCAUGGCAUACUUCCAGGCCAAGGGAGAGAGGCUUGUUAUAUAUGAUUAUCAACCCAAUGGCAGCCUUUUCAAUCUCAUUCACGGUUCAAGAUCCACUAGAGCGAAGCCUCUUCAUUGGACAUCAUGCUUAAAGAUAGCAGAAGAUGUGGCCCAGGGUCUUGCAUAUAUCCACCAAGCAUCGAAACUGGUUCAUGGCAACCUGAAAUCUUCCAACAUUCUCCUUGGAGCUGAUUUUGAGGCCUGUAUCACAGACUAUUGCCUUGCCGCCCUUGCAGACGCAUCUACUGAAGAUCCUGAUUCCACAGCAUGCAAAGCUCCUGAGAUCCGCAAGUCUAGCCAUCGAGCCACUGCCAAAACUGAUGUGUAUGCAUUUGGUGUGCUAUUACUCGAGCUUUUGACUGGUAAACAUCCAUCACACCAUCCAUUCCUUGCACCCACUGAUAUGUUGGACUGGGUCAGAGCAGUUAGGGAAGAUGAUGGUGCAGAAGAUAACCAAUUAGGAAUGCUUACUGAAGUUGCCAGUGUUUGUAGCUUGACUUCUCCAGAACAAAGACCGGCAAUGUGGCAAGUGUUGAAGAUGAUACAUGAAAUAAAGGAAAGUGCCGUGGUAGAGGAUAAUACAGCUGCUGGAUAUUCAUAGUUCUCUGUUGUGUACAUUUACAAGAUUGGAUGCAUGGAACAAACUGCGAACUCGGCCGCUUCAAACCAUAGCUUUGGGAGGUAGGUUUCUAAAAUUAUUUAUAUGAUCUAAUGGAACUCUAGGAAGCUACAGGAACGCCAGUCAGAUGUCACCUUUAAAUGGAGGAUAAAUCGUGAUUUUGUAAAGAUUCUACUAUUCUUUCCGUGGAGUGUUAUCAUUUUGAUCGCUUGCCAAAUGGACCUUUGAUGGUUAAGAAAUCAACUCCUUCUAUAUUUGGGUUUUCAUUCUUUAAAGCAGAAUUGGCAAGCAAUUUCCAUUUUUAACAAGGAGUAACAUGAAGUUCAUCCGUUUUGCUCCAGAACAGAAACACACAUGGAGAGGUAGAUCUUUUAGUGGUAGCAUUAAGGUAUUACAAAUUGUAUGGUUAAAUGGUGUUGGAGAUGGUGGUGUAGCAAGUAAUAGGAGGAAGACGAUGAAAGAUACAGCAGAUUUGUUUUUGCAGGCCUGAUGUCGAGUUUGUACUGUUUUGAGUUCAGUCAGCAGAUUGCUCUCCUUUGUAGCUUGGACUUAUGUUUUGGACCUUGUAGUGGAUUUGACCAUCUGCUUCAGUUUUGUCUCCGAUUAAAUGGCUCUUCUAUUUGAUCCCCUUGUUAGAUUUUUAAGGUUAAAAUUGUAGUAAUAUUUAGAUCACUAAAAAUAAAUGUAUAUACCUCUGCGCUUGCAUAAAAAUAAGAGAGUAAAAUAUCAU